rnacentral:rRNA from 1 species
GACGAACGCUGGCGGCGUGCCUAAUACAUGCAAGUCGAACGCAGUGGGGACGGGUGAGUAACACGUGGGUAACCUCCCAUCAGAGGGGAUAACACUUGGAAACAGGUGCUAAACCGAUACUGAUGGAUGGACCCGCGGUGCAUUAGCUAGUUGGUGAGGUAACGGCUCACCAAGGCCACGAUGCAUAGCCCACCUGGAGAGGUGGUCGGCCACACUGGAACUGGACACGGCCCAAGCUCCUACGGGGAGCAGCCGGUGGGGAUCUUUCGCAAAGGACGGAAAUCUGGACGGGCAACCCCGCGGGGGUUAAGGAAGUUUUCGGAUCGUAAAACCCUUUUUUUAAAGGAGCGGGUUCUAACCAGAAAGCCACGGCUUACUACGUGGCAGCCACCGCGGUAAUAC